UACGUAGGGUGCAAGCGUUAAUCGGAAUUACUGGGCGUAAAGCGUGCGCAGGCGGUUCGCUAAGACCGAUGUGAAAUCCCCGGGCUUAACCUGGGAAUGGCAUUUGGGACUGCAAGGCUUGAGUGCGGCAGAGGAGACUGGAAUUCCUGGUGUAGCAGUGAAAUGCGUAGAUAUCAGGAGGAACACCGAUGGCGAAGGCAGGUCUCUGGGCUGACACUGACGCUCAUGCACGAAAGCGUGGGGAGCAAACAGG
rnacentral:rRNA from 1 species